CGCAGGUUAUUCCUAAUGUAACCUCAUCGGUC
rnacentral:piRNA from 1 species